GAUGAACGCUGGCGGCGUGCCUAAUACAUGCAAGUCGAGCGAACAGACGAGGAGCUUGCUCCUCUGACGUUAGCGGCGGACGGGUGAGUAACACGUGGAUAACCUACCUAUAAGACUGGGAUAACUUCGGGAAACCGGAGCUAAUACCGGAUAAUAUGUUGAACCGCAUGGUUCAACAGUGAAAGACGGUCUUGCUGUCACUUAUAGAUGGAUCCGCGCCGCAUUAGCUAGUUGGUAAGGUAACGGCUUACCAAGGCAACGAUGCGUAGCCGACCUGAGAGGGUGAUCGGCCACACUGGAACUGAGACACGGUCCAGACUCCUACGGGAGGCAGCAGUAGGGAAUCUUCCGCAAUGGGCGAAAGCCUGACGGCGCAACGCCGCGUGAGUGCAGAAGGUCUUCGGAUCGUAAAACUCUGUUAUUAGGGAAGAACAAAUGUGUAAGUAACUAUGCACGUCUUGACGGUACCUAAUCAGAAAGCCACGGCUAACUACGUG
rnacentral:rRNA from 1 species